ACUGCGCCCUCGUCCACUGCCGGCUCCUCCCCACCGCCGGGGACCCCGACCCGGCGCCCCCCUAGUCCGCCGUCUCCUCAGGCCGCUUCUCUCCAGCCCCGUUCUGCCCGUUCAUUCUAGCUGCGUGAGACCCGGACACCGGGAUUUGACAUGUGGGCCCCAGCUUCUCCUGUCCUGCAACCUCAUUCGCACCGAAUUAUCUAGCCUCGCCCUCCGAAGUAUUAAACCAGCUUUGCCCUAGCCGCGGCGCCCCUCCUCCAAACUUCGCUCCGCAGAGAGGGCUGGGACAUUUCAGCAAAUGGAAGAACACCCUGUCUUAGUGGGAUUCUGUGAGGCCCACUCCACGAACUUCGGGCUGUUCCCAUCUUUAAUCAGGAGAGGGCGCCCCGUCCCCUGCAACAAAGCACAGAGAGGCUCUCAGGCCUUGAGCUCUCCACAAUGAGAGUUGAUCCCCAGAAGCCAACUCCCAGCGAUUACUGCCCCUCCCUGAUCCUGACCUAUUCAUAAAGCAGGACCCUGCACCACUUUGCAAAAACCAGCCUACCCCAACAAAGGAGGGCGAGAGGACCAAAAGUCCCAACUGUUGGCAUUUUGGGAGGUUGCAGAUCAUCUGGAAAGGUAGAAGACUUGUAAGCUAGUCAGUGUCACCAUUACAUCCUCCCAUAAAGAUUGACACAGUCUAGCACUCAUCACGUCUCAAGGUUAAUGUACUCUGAGCAGCCAUCAUGUCCCAGGCACUUUUCUACUUUUAAUGUGUUUUCUCAUUUACUCUUCAUUUUAAAAAUCUUACGAAGUAGAUACUAUCAACAUCCCCACUUUAUCGAUGGAUUCGACUGACACCUGCAAUCAUUCCCUUAUUAUUAAAUACUUUUGACCUCACAAAGUAGCUGUAAUUGCAGCUUUAUAUGUUCCUUUAUAUGCAGUCUUGUUCAUUCACUCAGCUAGGCAGUGGUGAUGAACUUACAGCAUGUGUGCCUCAGUGGGCUGUAUCAUUGAAAGCUCUAAAGUGUUUACCAUCACUGAGCCACUGAACUGAGCAAUGGUAGGGGACCCAGAGAUAUACAUCACAGAUUCACUCUUUGGGGAUCCAAGUUUGGACAGAAAGUAUCUUAUUCUAAAAACUACUUUUCAUUGCCAGGCAUGGUGGCACACUCUGGGAGGCUGAGGUAGUGGGGUCAUAAAUUUGAAACCAGUCUGGGCAACUUAGUGAUUCAGUGAGACCCUGCUGCAAAAUUUUAAAAACAGGUUGGGGAUCAUCCUGGGUUCAACCUCCAGUAUCAAAAACAAAAACAAAAAAACUUUCCUUGGCUUUGAAUUCUCUCCCACUUUGUUCUUUAGGGUUAGAGAAAAUAGAUUCAUAAAACCACAUAAAAACUACUUUUGUCCAAUUUCAACAAUUAGAUUUGGGUUUUCUGCCUUGGGGCUUCAUGGCAUCAUCUCUGUUGAGCUCCAUGCCAGAGUGCCUUCUUCUGGCUUUUUUUUUUUUUUUCCCUGCCUGGGAUCGAACUCAGGACCUUGCACUUGCCAGGCAGGUUCUUAUGCCACUGAGCUAAAUCCCCAGCCUCUCCUUCUGACUUUAUUCUCUGUCUUGAUCCCUUGUCUGUUCUCUUCACCCUAAAGUACCAUUCCUUAAGGCCAGAGCCCUUCUCUCUGCAUCUAGGCCACUGCCCAUGCCUGAAGCUUUAAGUGGUCUUAUCUCACCUUUAACUUUCUGGUGGUUGGGGCCAUGUGGGCAGUUCAUCUUUUGGCUCUGAUUCUGCGUUUCCUUGUCUGUAAAAAUGGCUUUAGGAAUAUCCACAGCAUAGAAUUGUUGUGACAAUUAGAGGUAAUACAGCAGUGUACCAGGCAUGCAGAGGGUACCCGAUGCAUGAUGGUUAUCACAACUACAUGUGUGAGCUACAUUUUGAACUCAUCCUCACUGAAACUUCUCUGAACAGUGUGACAUCAGUGGUGUUCACUGUGAAUUAUUUCUUCAGUUUAAAAGACUAACCUACUUUAUAGCUCGGCAGCACAGUGCUUUCCUGGCAAGCACAUGGUCCUGAAAUUGAUUCCCAGUAGCAAAAAAGAAGGAGGAGGAGGAGAACAAGAGGAGGAAGAGAGAGAGGAGGGAGAAGAAGAAGAGGAAGAAGAACCCCCUAAAACCCAAAAAACUCACCUACUUUGUUUUAUGUGAGGAACAGUAACAUGGAUUCUGUAUGCCAGACUCUCAUACACUUUUUUAUUUGAACCCAUUUUUACAGAUAAAGAAUUAGUGCUAGCAAGUGUUUAAUUCAGUAGGCACUCGGUGUUGGUUGAGCUAGCAUUUUUGCAUUGUCCAUGUAGCUGGUACUUCUGUUGAGGCCUUCUAGUAUCUCUUGCCCUCCUGGUGUCUGGACAUAUUCCAGAGAGCCUGUGACUGCAAUAGUAACAUCAGUUUCCAGUUUCAGUCAGUCACUCUCCAGUCUCCGUGUCCACACAUGUGUUUCACACACACCCGCCCAGCUGAGGGUUUGUUUUUAGCAAUGUUCUUCCCCUACAAGCAUGGGGGACAGUGUGGAUGUGGGGAGAGGGGGAGAUAAAAGGAAGGGCAUAUGUGUGGUGUCCCCUAAGGAGUCUGGCCCCCUCAUAGUCUGUGAUAACAUCAGUCCCGGCAUGGGAACAGAGACUGGGUAGGAAAGCCUCCCAAGAGGAGAAAAUGUUCUCUCCUCUUUUCUCAUGAUGUGUGACUAGGCUAUGUUUACAGAGCUAGAAGGAAGUGGCCGACCUUCAGGUGGCUAGUAAGAACAAACAAAAUUAAAAACAUUCUUGGGCUAAUGGAGUUCCUCCUGGGUUAGUGGGGCAAGAAGAACUGGUUAUGCUUGUUUGCUUAACUUAGAUAGUUUAGAUAAAAAGCUUCACUUAGAUAGUUUAGAUAACAUUGUAACUUGUCACAAAGCUUGUCACAAAAAUGUGCUAUUGCAAGGUAAACGUCAAUGCACUGUGAGUUGACCCGUUCACUAUAUAAGAACCUAAAAAUAAAGCACAGCAUGCAGUUGCAAUUGCUGUUUUCUCUGCUCUGCA